UGGUGCAGUGGUUUCACAUUUGGCUGGUGACCAAAAGUUCGGUGGUUUGAAUCCCCC
rnacentral:tRNA from 1 species